GGUCCCAUGGUGUAAUGGUUAGCACUCUGGACUUUGAAUCCUGUUAUCCGAGUUCAAAUCUCGUCGGUACG
rfam:Nematostella vectensis strain CH2 x CH6 NEMVEscaffold_322_Cont23763, whole genome shotgun sequence.